AUUGAACGCUGGCGGCAUGCUUUACACAUGCAAGUCGAACGGCAGCGCGGGCUUCGGCCUGGCGGCGAGCGGCGAACGGGUGAGUAAUACAUCGGAACGUGCCCAGUAGUGGGGGAUAGCUCGGCGAAAGCCGGAUUAAUACCGCAUACGACCUGAGGGUGAAAGCGGGGGAUCUUCGGACCUCGCGCUAUUGGAGCGGCCGAUGGCAGAUUAGCUAGUUGGUGGGGUAAAGGACUACCAAGGCGACGAUCUGUAGCUGGUCUGAGAGGACGACCAGCCACACUGGGACUGAGACACGGCCCAGACUCCUACGGGAGGCAGCAGUGGGGAAUUUUGGACAAUGGGCGAAAGCCUGAUCCAGCAAUGCCGCGUGUGUGAUGAAGGCCUUCGGGUUGUAAAGCACUUUUGGCGGGAACGAAAAGGACUGUGCCAAUACCACGGUUCGAUGACGGUACCCGCAGAAUAAGCACCGGCUAACUACGUG
rnacentral:rRNA from 1 species